rnacentral:misc_RNA from 1 species
AAAUCAUCAAUCUUACUGAUAUUGUCAGUGAUGAUUGGAUUGUGGGGGUUUGCGGGCUCGUAACAGAGUCGGCUCUCCUUAGUAAUGUUAGUGAGGCCUUUUGUUGACUGUCACUGGUGUGAUAAUUAUCUACGCCAUUGAAUGGACUUCAUUUGUUGGACUCGCUCAUAACUGUCUGGUUUACAGACUAUUUGACCAAU